rnacentral:tRNA from 1 species
GCCGAAGUGGCGAAAUGGCAGACGCGCUAGACUCAAAAUCUGGUUCCCUUUGGGAGUGUGGGUUCAAGUCCCACCUUCGGUACCA